GAUGAACGCUGGCGGCGUGCCUAAUACAUGCAAGUCGAGCGGAGCGGGGACGGGUGAGUAACACGUUGAUAACCUCCUAUCAGACGGGGAUAACUUCGGGAAACCGGAGCUAAACCGGAUACUUAUCGAUGGAUCCGCACUGCAUUAGCUAGUUGGUAAGGUAACGGCUUACCAAGGAAACGAUGCAUAGCCGACCUGAGAGGGUGGUCGGCCACACUGGAACGGAGACACGGUCCAGACUCCUACGGGAGGCAGCAGUAGGUAAUCUUCCGCAAUGGGAGAAAGCCUGACGGAGCAACGCCGCGUGAGUGAUGAAGGUCGUCGGAUCGUAAAGCUAUGUUAUUAGGGAAGCGGUACCUAAGCAGAAAGCCACGGCUAACUACGUGCCAGCAGCCGCGGUAAUUC
rnacentral:rRNA from 1 species